AUUAACAUACAAGAAUAUAUCAAAUGUUAGACACGCACAAAAGUUGUUAUAGUACAGGAUGGGGAUCGAAUUUACAGUCUCUCUGCAAAGAUGCAGAGGGACAGAAUUCAGCCCUGGCAAAGAAAGGGAUGGUGAUAAGACGGUUGUGCAAAAGGAGAGCAAUGCGGAGACUUUAGAUUUUUGUAUGUAAGAAGGAAGAACAAUUUUAAUAUAGAGGGUGCUGAUAAGAAGGGGCUGGUUGUGCAGAUGUGGGGCUGCACUGGCAAGAAUAGCGUGUGCUGUGGCAGGAUGUGUUGGCUCUGGCAGGUAUAGGGUACUACAAAGGAAUAGGGACUGCUGAAGGGAAGGUGGUUGCUCUAAACCAGGGCUGACCAAAAGGUAGAUCCCCAGAUGUUUUAAAGCUACAGAUUCCAUUAUGCUUUCUCAUUCUAAGGCAUGCAAAGCAUCAUGGGAGUUGUAGUUCUGCAACAUCUUGGGAUCUAUCUUUUGGGCACCCCUGCUCUAAUCUGGAGAGAGGGUAAUUUGCUGAACUGAAAGUAGA